UGUGCACCACAAGUACACAUGUGACUGUGUCACAUGUGUACUUGUGGUGCAAAGACUUGAGUGCCUGCUGAUAUUUCGAAUCCUGGCACAUGAU